AUGAAUUCGAUCGUCAAUUUAAAAUAUUUACACAAGUGGAUACCACAAAAUCUUAUGUUAUACUUAAUGAAAAGUAUAAAUAAACUCUAAGUGUUAGUGAAUCUAUCGUUUUGAUGGGAUACGAACUCUAUGAAAUUAAUUUCAAUGAUCCAACCGUCAAUCUUGUUUGUAUAUGCUUCGAGAUCGCAUACGCCAAAAAUCACAAAAAACAAACAUUCAGAGAUCAAGUAACAAGACAAAACUUUUCGACGGUUAUAAAACAAAAAAUCACAAUUUAACGGUUAUUUUAACUUCGAUUUUGAUAAUUUUUUACAACUACACUUGUUGACCCUAUACGAAUACAAUGAAUGAAUUCGAUCGUUAAUUUAAAAUAUUUACACAAGUGGAUACCACAAAAUCUUAUUUUAUACUUAAUGAAGGUAUAAAUAAACUCUAAGUGUUAGUGAAUCUAUCAUUUUGAUGAGAUACAAAUUCUAUGAAACUAAUUUCAAUGAUCAAACCGUCAAACUUGUUUGUAUAUGUUUCGAGAUCGCAUACGCCAAAAAUCACAAAAAAAAAACAUUCAGAGAUCAAGUAAUGAGACAAAACUUUUCGACGGUUAUAAAAC
rnacentral:lncRNA from 1 species